AUAAUUAUAGCAUUCAGAUAUACAUGUUGCAUUCUUUGCGAUAUAUCUUUGCUUGUUAUUUCCUGCUGUUGGUGAAAUAUUCUUCCCCACGCAGAUGUUUGUGUCUGAUCUCUCCAUAUAGAGUCAGCCCUAUAGGCAGAAAGUGACUAUCUUUCGUUCUAUAUUCCCCACUGAGUUAUGUCCUCGUGGAUGAUUUUUUGUUUUAGUU
rnacentral:lncRNA from 1 species